GGUUAAGCUACUAAGAGCACACGGAGGAUGCCUAGGCGCUAGGAGCCGAUGAAGGACGUGGCGAACAACGAAACUGCCUCGGGGAGCUGUAAGCAAGCUUUGAUCCGGGGGUGUCCGAAUGGGGAAACCCAGCUGGGGUAAUUUCCAGUUACUCAUAACUGAAUACAUAGGUUAUGCAGAGGCAUACCAGGGGAACUGAAACAUCUAAGUACCCUGAGGAAGAGAAAACAAUAGUGAUUCCGUCAGUAGCGGCGAGCGAACGCGGAGAAGCCCAAACCAGAGAGCUUGCUCUUUGGGGUUGUGGGACGUCUCACAUGGAGUUACAAAGGAACCGGUUAAGCGAAGAGGUCUGGAAAGGCCCGCCAAAGAAGGUAAAAGCCCUGUAGUUGAAAGU
rnacentral:rRNA from 1 species